GUCCCAGAAGCAGAAUCUCCAGUUGUUUCCUUUGUGGGGCUCACCACACACAUUUUCACUCUUGCAGAGACGUCCUACUCCUGCAUUCCUGUGCCAGGCUGGUAAGCAUCUGGAUCAAAGCAGGAGCUGUGACAGAAAGGAACAUGGCUGUUCCCUCCUCUGACAGCAGAGGCUUCCUGGACACCCACUGGGUUUAUUGUGGAGGUAUUUUUGUCUGACACAGGACAAGCGGAAAAGGAUUGUUUUCUUCAGGGUGUGUGAGGAUGUUUGCCUGGCAACGCCCUUCUUGGAAUCUGACCAUACCCCGCCUUGAUCUGGGAUGUUCAGCCUCAAUAAAUAUGAAAA